rnacentral:rRNA from 1 species
CAAUAGCGUAUAUUAAAGUUGUUGCGGUUAAAACGCUCGUAGUUGGAUUUCUGUUGAGGGCAGCCGGUCCGCACUUCGUGCGUGUAUCUGGUUUGACCUCGGCAUCCUCUCAAAAUACGUUUCUGCGCUUGAUUGCGUGGAGCGGAGUUUGAGACUUUUACUUUGAGGAAAUCAGAGUGUUCACGGCAGGCAAUCGCCUUGAAUAUAUUAGCAUGGAAUAAUAAUAUAGGAUCUUGGUUCUAUUUUGUUGGUUUCUAGAGCUAAGAUAAUGAUUAAUAGGGACAAUUGGGGGCAUUCGUAUUAACGCGUCAGAGGUGGAAUUCUUGGAUUGCGUUACGACGAACUACUGCGAAAGCAUUUGCCAAGGAUGUUUUCAUUGA